rnacentral:rRNA from 1 species
UGAGGAACAUGACCUUCGGCGGGGGAUAGCCGGCCCAACGGCCGGGUAAUACCGCGUACGACCACAUGGGGACAUCCCUGAGUGGUGAAAGCAGCAAUGCGCCGAUGGAGUGCCUCGCGGCCUAUCAGCUAGUUGGUGAGGUAACGGCUCACCAAGGCGACGACGGGUAGCUGGUCUGAGAGGAUGGCCAGCCACAUUGGGACUGAGACACGGCCCAGACCUCGUAACCGGGGA